AGUUUGAUCCUGGCUCAGAUUGAACGCUGGCGGCAGGCCUAACACAUGCAAGUCGAGCGGAUGAAGAGAGCUUGCUCUCUGAUUCAGCGGCGGACGGGUGAGUAAUGCCUAGGAAUCUGCCUAGUAGUGGGGGACAACGUUUCGAAAGGAACGCUAAUACCGCAUACGUCCUACGGGAGAAAGUGGGGGAUCUUCGGACCUCACGCUAUUAGAUGAGCCUAGGUCGGAUUAGCUAGUUGGUAGGGUAACGGCCUACCAAGGCGACGAUCCGUAACUGGUCUGAGAGGAUGAUCAGUCACACUGGAACUGAGACACGGUCCAGACUCCUACGGGAGGCAGCAGUGGGGAAUAUUGGACAAUGGGCGAAAGCCUGAUCCAGCCAUGCCGCGUGUGUGAAGAAGGCCCUCGGGUCGUAAAGCACUUUAAGUUGGGAGGAAGGGCUCAUAGCGAAUACCUGUGAGUUUUGACGUUACCAACAGAAUAAGCACCGGCUAACUUCGUGCCAGCAGCCGCGGUAA
rnacentral:rRNA from 1 species